CCAAACUAUAUGAAUCUCAUCAUUACCAAGAUGUCGUGUCUAAAAAAAAUUUGAAAUAUCUUAUAUAAUAUACUUUUUUCAUAAAUUUUCAUAAGACUGACCUUUUGUAAUAAACUCUCAGGACUAUCCGAAGGCAUUCUUGUUGCUACAUGAAAAAGAAUUUCUGUAAAAGAUGUUGCAAAAUAUGGUGCUGUAACUCCGGAUGCUUUUCCAGAUAAACCCAAGUGUGAAAACAAAAGACGGCAGUGAUGAAACGGCGCUGGAGGAGGACGACAUGGUGGUGGGCUUAUUGCUGAUGCACACAUACUAAAAAAAAACAUGAAUAAAUUUAAAUAUUAUAAAUAUUAUUUAAUGCCAAUAUACCUAAUGUGUUGAUUCCAAUUGUUGAUAUGCUCUUGUUCAGCAUUUCUUUGGCUGAGAAUUGUGGCAAUGGUUUCACUUUCAAGAUAAUGACCUUGUGGUGGAUUAGCAGGUGCAUUUAGAGCUAUUUCUGGAUUAGUUAAUACUUCUGGACUUGUAUAUCCUAUAUAUUGUAAGAGCU